AUUGAACGCUGGCGGCAUGCCUUACACAUGCAAGUCGAACGGCAGCACGGGUGCUUGCACCUGGUGGCGAGUGGCGAACGGGUGAGUAAUACAUCGGAACGUACCUUAUCGUGGGGGAUAACGCAGCGAAAGCUGUGCUAAUACCGCAUACGCCCUGAGGGGGAACGCGGGGGAUCGAAAGACCUCGCGCGAUUAGAGCGGCCGAUGCCUGAUUAGCUUGUGGGUGGGGUAAAAGCCCACCAAGGCGACGAUCAGUAGCUGGUCUGAGAGGACGAUCAGCCACACUGGGACUGAGACACGGCCCAGACUCCUACGGGAGGCAGCAGUGGGGAAUUUUGGACAAUGGGGGCAACCCUGAUCCAGCAAUGCCGCGUGAGUGAAGAAGGCCUUCGGGUUGUGAAGCUCUUUUGUCAGGGAAGAAACACCGGCUCUAACACAGUCCGGGAAUGACGGUACCUGAAGAAUAAGCACCGGCUAACUACGUGCCAGCAGCCGCGGUAA
rnacentral:rRNA from 1 species